AUUGAACGCUGGUGGCAUGCCUUACGCAUGCAAGUCGAACGGCAGCACGGGUGCUUGCACCUGGUGGCGAGUGGCGAACGGGUGAGUAAAGCAUCGGAACGUACCGUGAAGUGGGGGAUAACGUAGCGAAAGUUACGCUAAUACCGCAUAUUCUGUGAGCAGGAAAGAGGGGGAUCGCAAGACCUCUUGCUUUACGAGCGUCCGAUGUCGGAUGAGCUAGUUGGUGAGGUAAAGGCUCAACAAGGCGACGAUCCGUAGCGGGUCUGAGAGGAUGAUCCGCCACACUGGGACUGAGACACGGCCCAGACUCCUACGGGAGGCAGCAGUGGGGAAUUUUGGACAAUGGGCGCAAGCCUGAUCCAGCCAUGCCGCGUGAGUGAAGAAGGCCUUCGGGUUGUAAAGCUCGUUCGGCGGGGAAGAAAUGGCGCUUUCUAAUACAGAGCGUUGAUGACGGUACCCGCAUAAGAAGCACCGGCUAACUACGUGCCAGCCGCCGCGGUAAAAC
rnacentral:rRNA from 1 species